AGAGUUUGAUCCUGGCUCAGAAUCAACGCUGGCGGCGUGCCUAACACAUGCAAGUCGAACGAGAAAGUGGGAGCAAUCCCAUGAGUAAAGAGGCGACCGGGUGAGUAACACGUGACUAACCUACCCUACAGUGGGGGAUAACCUCGGGAAACCGGGGCUAAUACCGCAUAACAUCGCAAGAUCAAAGAAGCAAUUCGCUGAAGGAGGGGGUCGCGGCUGAUUAGUUAGUUGGUGAGGUAACGGCCCACCAAGACGAAGAUCAGUAGCCGGCCUGAGAGGGCGCACGGCCACACUGGAACUGAAACACGGUCCAGACUCCUACGGGAGGCAGCAGUGGGGAAUUUUGCGCAAUGGGGGAAACCCUGACGCAGCAACGCCGCGUGGAGGAUGAAGUCCCUUGGGAUGUAAA
rnacentral:rRNA from 1 species